rnacentral:rRNA from 1 species
CUCAGAGUGAACGCUGGCGGUAGGCCUAACACAUGCAAGUCGAACGGCAGCACAGGAGAGCUUGCUCUCUGGGUGGCGAGUGGCGGACGGGUGAGAAAUACAUCGGAAUCUACCUUUUCGUGGGGGAUAACGUAGGGAAACUUACGCUAAUACCGCAUACGACCUUCGGGUGAAAGUGGGGGACCUUCGGGCCUCACGCGAUUAGAUGAGCCGAUGUCGGAUUAGCUAGUUGGCGGGGUAAUGGCCCACCAAGGCGACGAUCCGUAGCUGGUCUGAGAGGAUGAUCAGCCACACUGGAACUGAGACACGGUCCAGACUCCUACGGGAGGCAGCAGUGGGGAAUAUUGGACAAUGGGCGCAAGCCUGAUCCAGCCAUACCGCGUGGGUGAAGAAGGCCUUCGGGUUGUAAAGCCCUUUUGUUGGGAAAGAAAUCCUAUCGAUUAAUACUCGGUGGGGAUGACGGUACCCAAAGAAUAAGCACCGGCUAA